UACAGGGGGUGCAAACGUUGCUCGGAAUUAUUGGGCGUAAAGCGCGCGUAGGCGGCUACUUAAGUCGGAUGUGAAAGCCCUUGGCUCAACUGAGGAAGUGCACCCGAAACUGAGUGGCUUGAGUACUAAAGAGGGUAGUGGAAUUCCCGGUGUAGCAGUGAAAUGCGUAGAAGAUCGGGAGGAACAUCCGUGGCGAAGGCGACUACCUGGACCAGCACUGACACUGAGGCACGAAAGCGUGGGGAAGCAAACAGGG
rnacentral:rRNA from 1 species